UGGCUCAGUGGUAAAGUGGUCGGCUGUUAACCCAAAGGUUGGUGGUUUAAAUCCACC
rfam:Loxodonta africana cont3.94355, whole genome shotgun sequence.